UGGCAAACGGGUGAGGAACACGUGGGAAUCUACCCAUCAGUACGGAAUAACAUUUGGAAACAAAUGCUAAUACCGUAUAUACUCUACGGAGGAAAGAUUUAUCGCUGAUGGAUGAGCCCGCGUCAGAUUAGGUAGUUGGUGGGGUAAUGGCCUACCAAGCCGACGAUCUGUAGCUGGUCUGAGAGGAUGAUCAGCCACACUGGGACUGAGACACGGCCCAG
rnacentral:rRNA from 1 species